UGAAAAUCUGAAGCGGACAAAGUUUCAGAAUUGUAAUCUAGAGUGUUUCACGAAAGGUGAGGUCUUCGCACAAGUGCCUGAAAGGGUACGUCAAAGAGGGUGAAAACCCCGUAGAUGGCGAUGGACCUGCUGGCCGUGGGAUUUCGAAGAGUCGGGUUGUUUGGGACUGCAGCCCUAAAUGGGAGAUAAACUUCUUCUAAAGCUAAAUAUUUAUGGGAGACCGAUAGCGAACAAGUACUACGAAGGAAAGAUGAAAAGAACUUUGAAAAGAGGGUUAAAAGACUUGAAAGCGUUGAAAAGGAAGCGGUAGAAGAGAAUUAUUUGGGCGAGACGUUUGACGUGAGAGCACCGGCCAGCGGAGGGUGGAGUUCGUAAAAGGCUUGCCAAUCGUUUGGUAACGGGGAUCUGCGGCUUUUUCUCGUUCAAAAGACAAAAUGAGGUCCCGACUGCCGGAGACACUGUUAGUUGAAAGACUGGCAAGAAUACGGCAGCGAGGGCCUGAGGGUCCGAAAGGAGAUUUUGUCAAAAUGGCUUCUACUGACCCGUCUUGAAACACGGACCAAGGAGUGUAACACGUAUGCGAGUUUGCGGGUGGAAAAACCUGUGAGGCGCAAUGAAAGUAAGUAUAAGAUGUGAAGCUGAAAGGCCGCAGCAUCGACCCACCAUGAUCUUCUGGUGAAUGGCUGGAGUAAUAGCAUACUUGUUACGACCCGAAAGAUGGUGAACUAUGCUUGAGUAGGCUGAAGCCAGGGGAAACUCUGGUGGAAGGUCGUAGC
rnacentral:rRNA from 1 species